GUGGGCCACGGGAGGGGGCAGCAUCUUCACUCGUUCAUCCAACCACAAGUCUUCAUCCUUCUCCUCUUCAAGUGAGCCUCCAUCAUCCAGGUCAACAUCAGUGCCACACAUCCUGAAGAUGGGAGGAACACUUCCAAAGUGAAAUAAUACCAAAGAACUGGAAAUGGAAUGGAUCUAGCUGCUCGAUGCUGAACCUGGCCCUCAUUCCAAACCAGCAGGCGGUCAAGUCUCAGAGCUCAUUAACACACAAUCUUACCUCCCACACCCAAACCGCAGUUUAUUGGUCUGAAACAGACAAAAGGAGUGGCAAAGAAUCUUCUUGACUCACUUUAUUAAAUAUACAUUGAGUGCCCUAAGCGGGGCCAAAGUGGGCAUAAGUGACACAGUCAAAGUGCAACACGAAACAGAUGCUUAUGUGGUGAAUCCGCUCGCAUCCUCUUUAAUCCUUCACUGCUGGUCCUGAGAGGAAAACAAAAAUCAUGUAGCCUAAGGUGUGCAUGUGUGAACAGACCUUCUUCACGCUCACCUUAACCACGCGGCCAUGAAUCAAAUACGGUGACCUGAAGUCAUUCUGGCAGUUGGAGUAGCCCAUGCCCAAACCCAAACCGGCACCGAACGAGACAGGCCAUGUGCGUCCUGCCGGGAGAACAAAAACAUUCAUUCAUCAACUAAAUGAGGAGAGCCUGGUUCUCUUUACACUGAUGACUUACGUUUAAAGAGAAGGAUGGAGAAGACAAUCCCUACACCCAGGCCGGUUACUGCAAAGGGGAAGAAAAAUAGACGGCAUUAACAACUCGACUGCAGUGACUCAACUCAAGCGCUGAGGUGGGGUGAUUAUGUUUGAUCCACUCGUAAAGUGUCUGGCACGGUGGACGGGGAACAGACGUCCUGGACUUGGAAUCAUACAACCUUCUAUACAGACCUGACCUAUUUAUACUUACCAGUGUUAUUUAUAUAUAAUACAAUCUAUACCAAAAUAAAAACAUAGUGCAACAUAAAUCAAAACAAUUAACUCCAAGUAGACCCUUAAAACUGCUAGGUUAAAAAUGCGACUGACCCAGGAGGUUGAUUUGACCCAACUUUGGGUUUAAAAAAAAAAAAAAAAAGUCAAAAUUUUUAAGCAUGUAAAACACACAUGUCAAAGAUAAAUGUCCUUAUAACUUCAAUAAUAAAUGCAUUGUGCCAUGCAAAGCAUUCUAUCAAUCGAAAAGGAAAGUUAUUUUAAAAAAAAAACUAUAUUUAUAGUCGAGCCCCACGAUUUGCGGGGAAUAGGGACCUGCUGCACAUGUAGUUAAAGGAAUUGAAUGCUGCGGUGUCGGUCCCAUGCAGCGCAGCCAUAAGAAUUGUCGGGCAGUGGCACAAAAAUCACCACGCUUGUUUUGUCUCGGACCGGAGAGGACCUUGAGGAGGAAUGUGCAGGCCACGCCGCACCCAGUGGCAGGCCAGCCAGCACAGAAAACAUAUAAAAAGAGCCAUUUGGGCCCCUCUUGACUCUUAAUUGGAUUCAGAGAGCUAUGCAGCAUGACCGAUGUUCUUCAACCAGAAUCCGUGGACUGUUUUCCAUUACAGUUUUAGUAAAGUCAAACAAGAAAAGCUCAUCUUCAUUAUCAGUCUGGAUCGACAUUAAACCAUAUGCAUCA